UGCACAGGAUCCCAUUUCUUACCUCCCGGAUUAAAAAGCAGAGAAAUUCACUAAUAGGCAAAAAAAACUUUAGAGUUUAAGAACAUACCUAUUGUUAUGUGCCUUCAGGUGGAUUACAACUCAUGGCGACCCUAUGAAUCAGUGACCUUCAAGAGCAUCUGUCAUGAACCACCCUGUUCAGAUCUUGUAAGUUCAGGAAGUUCUGUUUUCUCCCAUAAUUCAUGGUGCCAUGACUCAGAUAGCCAAGUUCACUAGAGAACAAUCAGUCUGGACCAUCCACCACUGACUUCCCAGCGCCACCCCUAGAGGUAACAAAGGUUUGGAACAGUUAAGAAAUGUUUGUUGGCAAACAGAUUAACUAAAGUGACAGCAAGAGAAUGUGUUAAUUCCAACAGCUCAAUUCCCUCUUCUUCCACUCUCUGGAGCAGACUUGAAAUCAGUAAAUAAUUGCAAAGCAAGCUUCAAGGCUGGGCAAAUGGGGAGCGUCAUCCACCAGCUACCCCUCCUUUCCCCAGCUCACUUUUAAAACAGCAUGGUUGUAUUUCUAUUUUUAAUUGGCUCUAAAUAACGUAUGGGUAUACAAAUUGGAUAAAUUUUAAAGUUUGCAUUGGGCUCGUCUUUGACUACAAGCGCACCUGAUGCUGGCACCAUGAUAUGGGAAUUCCAGAGCAACUUUUCAUGUGCAGCACUCUGUGCAUGAUAUCUGAUAUCUGAAUCUGAUAUCGGAAGAAGAAGAGGAAAGCAGCAGCCAACAUAAAGAGGGAGAAUGGCAAAGAAAAUGAUCAGGAAAAGCAACUCGCAAACGACUUAAUGCAGUGGAAGAGAGAGAAAAUUAGCAAGAAAUAGCAGGCACGUUACAAAAUGCAUAGGAGGCAUCCCAAUUAAUCUUACAAACUCAUUCUUUACCGCAAGAAGAGUACUCAUUUUAAGAAACGACAACAAGUUUUGUGGUAUUAAUUAUAUGCGAACAAGUAUGUGUAUACGCAGGAGUGUAUAAUCUAUGAUUGUAUGUGAACAUACAUGUGUGUAUUUAUGAGCUGGCAGAAUGGGGAGGAAUUAUAUAUUGGGGACAUGGUUCCCAAUGGUUCUUUCUCUUUUUACUCCCUGAAUUUCAGGGAGAAGUCUCUGGGGGGAAGUAAAAGGUAGUGAGAAAUGUUAUUGUUAAAGUUUUAUGAAUUAAAUUGUAAUAUUAUAUACGUUAAAGGUUCUCCCCUGCAGGAGAUAGUGUGAUAACACACUGGGUAAAAGCCAGAGUCUCACACCUGUUGGUGUGGGUGCAGUCUCAGCAGAUUUACUGGACUGCAUCAGGCAGAUCCCACAUUAUUUAGUAGGUAAUUGUUUUAUUUAUUUAUUUAUUAUUUGAUUUAUAUCCCGCCCUUCCUCCCAGCAGGAGCCCAGGGCGGUUAUGGUAAAGGUUGAAAGGAGAAAAGUUGGGGAGGAAGGGGAGUUAGAGGCAAUGGCGAUAUUUCAAGGUAAAGAGAAUUUAUUAUAUUUUAGUUUGGGUAUUCAUAAAGCAAUAGUUGUCAAAAUUCUUAAAUGGCUUAAAAAUAGUACCUUUAAAUGUAAAAGGUUUGGGAAGUGUAAUAAAAAGAAAGAGAAUAACUUCCUAUAUUAGAAAAAUGCACCCCAUGGUGACUCUCUUACAGGAGGUACAUACAAUUAAAAAUAGAGAGUCUUUGCUCAAUCAUAGAUACUUUGGGGAGAAAUAUGUAGCACCAGGCACUUCAAAAGCAAGAGGAGUGGCUAUAAUCUUUAAAGCAAAUUUCCCCUUUAUUGUAGAAAAGGUUUGGAAAACCCAGGAGGUAAUUUCCUCUUCAAAAAGAGAUUGUUUAAUGGUACAGAAUAUUAUACAAUUGGCACAAUUUAUGCACCUAAUAAAGGACAAAUUAAAUUCUUAUCCACCUGCUUUAAAAAACUUAAUUUCAAAAAGGACAAUUGAUAAUAGGUGGUGAUUUCAACAUCAGUCUUAGAGACAUGAUCAAAAGGGAAAGAAAGUAUCUCAGAAAAAAUGUGAUAAACAACUCUCUCCCUGAUGAGGUACGCCUUGCGCCAACAUUGCUGUCCUUCCGGCGCCAGGUAAAACCCUUUUUGUUCUCCCAGGCAUUUUAACAUUUUAACAUUGUUUUACAUCUAUUUUAACACCUACAUUUACACUUACGAUCUUAAUAUUUUAGUAAUUUUAAUUACUUAACAUCUUAACAUCUUAAUACUUUUAACUGAUUUAAUAUGCUUUUAAUAUUUUCAGGCUUGUGUUGUAGUUGUUUAUAUAUUUAAUUAUGUUUUGCUACUUUUGGUGUAUUGUUUUUAAGUUGUUUGAUAUAUGUUUUUAACUGUAUAUUGGAUGUUUUAUGUUGUGCACCGCCCAGAGAGCUUCGGCUAUGGGGCGGUAUAGAAAUAUAAUAAAUAAAUAAAUAAAUAAAUAAAAAUGUGCAGCCAUCCUUAAAAGGUUAAUUUAAAAGACACAUUGGCUGAAUUACACCCAUAGGAUAACAGCUUCACCUUUUUCUCAACAACCUCUCAAUCUCACUCCAGGUUAGACAGCAUCCUUGUCACAGCAGAUUAACACCCAUCUUUAAUUAAUGUAGAAAUAGGAACAAUAAGAAUUGCAGAUCAUGGCCCAGUCUCUAUAACUAUGGAUAGUAUGCAAUUUGAGACCCUUUGAUUGGAAACUGAGCCCCAUAUUACUCACUAUGCCAACGAGUAGAGAAGGGAUUCAAAUGCUUUAAAUAAUUACUUCAAAGAAAAUGACACUCCAGGAAUGCCAAUUAGAAUGCAAUGGGAAGCUAUGAAAGCAGUAACAAGGGGAAUUUGCAUAAAGGGAUUACAUGAAAUCAAAACCAGACAUAAUUUGCAAAUUAAUAAAUUAAAUAAUGAGAUUAAAAAUUUAUUUCAAAGAUAUGGAAAAUCAGGCUCUAAACAAAUUUAUAAACAAUUAAAAAGAAAGCACAAAGAAUUAGACCUUUUGGAAUUUAAUAAAAUUAUGGUUAACAUGCUAUAUACUCAACAAAGAUUCUGUGAGUUUGGGAGCAGGGGAUCAUGAUUAUUGGCAAAUAGGAUUAAGCAAAAACAUAGAAAAUGCAUGAUAACUACAGUACAAAAGAAGGAUGGUUCAAUAACCUGUUCACCAACAGAAAUUGGAGAAACAUUUGCUGCUUUUUAAAAGAACCUAUAUCAGGCAGUUGGACUUGAUGGCCUUAUAGGCCCCUUCUAACUCUACUAUUCUAUGAAAGCAGUGGUGUAGACAUUAUUAUUAUUGCAUUUAUAUCCCACUUUUUCUCCAAGGAGCUCAAAGUAGCAUACAUGGUUCUCCCCCUCAUAAUUUAAUCCCCACAACAACUCUGUGAGUUAGGUUAGGCUAACUGACAGAUUCCUAUAGACCCAUAGCAUUGCUGAACAUAGAUUACAAAAUAUUUACCUCAAUUAUAGCUAACAGAUUGAAUCAUAUAAUUCAAUGAUUGAUCCAUUCGGACCAAACUGGAUUCGUACCAGAUAGACAAACUGCUGAUCCCAUCAGAAGAAUUCUAAAUUUAAUCAACUAUUGUAAAACUAAUCAACUCCCUUUAGCCUUCCUUUGUUUAGAUAUUUUCAAAGCAUUUGAUUAUGUACACUGGCCCUUUUUAAUUUCAGUAGCACAAGCAAUGAAUUUAUAACACUCCUACAGAAAAUUUACUCCCCAACAACUGCAACCAUCAAAAUCAACGCAUUAGACUCACCUUAUAUUGACAUAAACCGAGGUACCAAACAAAGAUGUCUGCUGUCACCUCUUCUACUCCUCCUGGCAUUAGAACCGAUGGCACAGCAUCUAAGGAAUAAUAAAAAAAUAAAGGGAGUUAGAAUUGGAACUGCAACACACUUACUUAGUAUGUAUGCAGAUGAUACAGCCCUAUUUAGUACAAAUCCACUAGAAGCUGCUCCCAAUAUUUAGGGUGCUUUGGAAACAUUUGCAAAUGCCUCCGGACUUCUGGUGAAUCUUAAAAAAUCCGAGGCACUAUGUUUUCACAUGCCCCCUGCAGUCCAGAGAUAAUUCCCAUCUGUUCUAGGGAUACCUUUAUGUCCAAGACAGUUGAGAUAGGCAUACAAAUACAUAAACAUUUGAACAGAUUAUUUUUAGCUAAUUACAGACCCUUAUGGUACACCAUAAAGGCUGAUAUGAAUAGGUGGACUGUGAUGUUCCUGCUUAUAGUGUAAAUAUGGAAAGUGCUGUUUAUAUAGAAGACAUAUGGUAAGUGGAGUGAAAGAGGAGGGGAGAGUACAUGAGCAGUAGAAUGCUGGAUGAUUGGCUGAGCGUUUGAAUGGCUGGGAGUAUAAAUGGAAGAAUGACAGUUGAAUCUGGGUGGAUGUUAGUAGGGUGGAGAAGAAGGUGUUUGGUGGUGGAUGUUGGGAGUGUGGAGAAAGAGGUGUUUGA